rnacentral:lncRNA from 1 species
AUUGUAAGACGGUGACUUUGCUUCCUUCCAUUUGGCAGAGCUGGACCUGGGUGACAGGUGUCUGGACGGGGUUCUCAGCAAUAAUCACUAUGAGUCGGACAUCCUGAAGGUAGGGGACUCCACGUACAGGCGCGGGUGGGGGCUCAGGCCUAGAAGAGGCCCCCAGGAGGCUUUCAGCUCUCCCAGUGGCUCUGACUAGUCCUGCCGCCGAGCUCACCACAUUGGUGUUUUCCCACGUGUUCCUGUCUUCCAAGAGGUUAUUUCCUUCAUGCCCAUCACGCCACGGGUCCACAGGUGUCGGCUCCGGUGCCUGUGUGCCCCACGCAGAGUUUUGGGGUCUGGGUGGGGGCCGGGGCGGCCCUUUGCUGGAACCCGGGCCUCUCUCUGGCUUCCUCUUUUCUGGCUUUGUCCUUCUCGCGUCUUAGGAAGCUGAAGCUGACGUGGCUGUUAGAAUUUCAGUGUUGAAUGUGCACAUCGUUCUCUUGGCGAGAGUUGUGCCUCUCUCCCAUGUAUGCAGCGUUGCACACGCCAGACCUGUAUGGCAGGCCCCUUGGCACCGCGUGCUCUGGUUAGAUGUCUGCGUGCUGCUCUCUUGCAGGUCCACACAAGAGAGCUGAGGCCAGGGUGUAGAUGCAAAGCCUCAGCUUCCUUACCGUGCGGUCUUGCGGCUGUUGCCACACUAGAGCCUCCCCGGCCGAGGUCGGGUGUCGCCCCGCUCCUGUGCUCGGAGCGUCUGCGAGAUUUUGGAGAGAAUGUGGUAGCUCGUGUGUUCAGCUUUCGGAAGCCAGCUUUCCUUCUGAGGCUCUGACAAAGCCAUGUGGGAAGAGAGCCCUUGCAGACUAGCUUGUGAGCGUGUUGCCGGGUCCCGGGCAUCCUGGUCCUCGUGUGUUGCGGUCCUGGAAGGCCUCACAACUGCCUGAUGCAAAUUCCUGCCGUGGUUAGCCUGCCUGUGCCGUGGCCUUGCCCGCGUUCGAGGGCCUUUCAUGAAAUGUUUGCUUUCUUGUCAUUUUAGUCUUCUGUUCUCCAAGCUAGUAUUUCUAAGAUUUCCCUUCUUUCCCCAUCCCAGAAUUACCUGGCAACCAGGGGGUUGACGUGGAAAAACAUGUUGACUGAAAGUCUCGUGGCUCUGCAGAGGGGAGUGUUCCUGCUGUCUGGUAAGCGCCAUCGUACCUGCCUUCCUUCUGUCUGGUGCGGCGGUGUGUUUGCCGUGGCCCCUCUGCCUCCACUACGGAGGAGAGCCUCCGGGCUGCCUUCCCACGUGUACGCCCUCACCCUCCACCCACCCUGGCGGUAGGUGGCAGACAGGUGCCAGUACUUCAGGAUUUGAGCCCACGUGACACAUUCUAGGCUCUUUUCUGCCGUGGGGGAGGAAGGGACACAGCUGAAGAGACUGUGACCCCACCUCUUGGCAUCUUUCGGGUCCUGGGUCCGGUGCUUCUCAAGCCCUCAGGGUCCUCGUAGGCAUUUCACUGAUGUGUUGGUGCAGGCUUGGCCUGUCUCCCAGGGGCACCCGGGACAUUGUGAAAUGUGGUUUUAGUCACUCGGGGAGGGUGCAGAAAAAUCAACAAAUGACUUUUUUUCCUAAGACAUAAAUUAUUGUGAAAGACUUCAGAGGCUUCUGGGAAUCCUUCUGAGCAGAUACGUGCUCACGAGUGUCUCGGGUUCUGUGCAGCCUCGGCCCUGGGGGCGCCCGGUCUGACAUGCGGGCCUGAGCUCUCUUUAGCUUCUUGGUGGGACUGCCAUGGUGGCAUGGCCCAGAAAGACGUGUGAGUGAAGCAUGGUGGGUAAAGCGAAAAUCACAGGGAAUCCCACCCCCGAGGACCCAGUGAUGAUGCCAUAUGGCCUGUGCACCCGCCACACGUGGGCAUGGUCAGAGUCCUCAUAGAUGAAACCCUACCACAUGUGCUCUCCACUCGGUGGUAUUCCCCAGACCCUUUCUAUGUCAGUGAAGUUCUUUACCUGGAUUGUUUUUCAAGUUUCUUUAUUUUGAGAGAGACAGAGACAGCGCAGGUUGGGGAGGGGCAGAGAGAGAGAGAGAGGGAGAAUGAGAAUCCCAAGAAUCCCAGCUCGGGGCUUGAGCUCAUGAAACCACGGGAUCAUGACCUGAGCUGCAACUGAGAGUCAGACUCUCAAUCGACUGAGCCACCCAGGCGCCCCUACCUUGAUUUUUGUUCUAUAGUAUUUUGUAUCAUGGUUUAUUUAACCAAAUCAUUAAUAUAGGAUAUUUAGGUUAUUCUCCACGUUUCACUGUCUGAAUAAGCACUGCAGCCUCUGAGCCUGCAGGAUCGUAGGCUAGAAAAGUUGUUCCAUCAAGAUAAAUUAAGUAAAUAAAUACAUGAGUAAAUAAGUAAACAGUAAGUAAGUAAAUUGUUGGACGGUGGUAUGAACAAACCAGUUGAGACUUUGCCAUAUUCGCUGUCCCUCCCAGAAGAACGUGCCUCAGCAUCUUCCUGAGCCCAUCUGCCCUGCCUUUGCCUGUAAAUACAGACAAGGCAACUGGGACGUAUCAUUGGUUUAUCUGCCUGUGUUGGGGUAUUAGCAGAAUUGAAGAUCUUUUUGCUUUAUGGUUCAUUGGCUUGUCCGUGACCUUGGCCCAUACUUACGUUAGUCUAUUUGGAUUUGGGGGCAUGGGUUGGUAGGAUAUCUUUGUCAUUUAAAGGUGCAACAUAUGGUUGCUUGUGUGGCAAAUGUGUUUUCCACUAUUUUAUUAGUAUCUCGCUUUUGUCGUAUGUGUUUCCAUUGUGGUGUUUACAUUGUAGGUAGUCAGAUUUACAGAUCCUUUCCUGUGUGCUAUUUGGUUUUUAUGACAUGAAUAGCUCAAGAGAAAAAUAAUACUCAUUCCUCUCAGUACUUUUUUGGAUUUUUAUUUUUAGUGUUACUAUUUUUUUAGAAAUGCUCUAUUUUGGGGGCUCGUGGGUGGCUCAGUUGGUUAAGCGUCCGACUUUGGCUCAGGUCAUGAUCUCGCAGUCUGCGAGUUUGCGCCCCAUGUCCGGCUCUGUGCUGACAGCUCAGAGCCCGAAGCCUGCUUCAGAUUCUGUCUCCGUCUCUCUCUGCACCUCCCCUGCUUUCAUUCUGCCUCUCUCUUUCUCUCAAAAAUAAACAUAAAAAAAAUUUUUUUUAAAUGCUCUAUUUUUUUAAGCGUAUAUAUUUACUUAGAGAACGGGAACGCAUGCUUGAGCGGGGGAAGGGGUGGAGAGAAUCCCACGCAGGCUCCACACUGCCAUCACAGAGCCCCAUGUGGGGCUUGAAUUCAUGACAUGACCUGAGCCAAAAUCCAGAGUUGGACACUUAACUGACCGAGCCACCCAGGCACCCCUACUUUUUUGGAUUUUUAAAGUGUUUGAACUUUUUAUCCAAGUGGAAUUAUUUUGCUGUGAGGAAAUAAGUUGGUAUCGAGAUUGGUUUUGUUCUUGUUUUCUGAAAGUCUGGCCCAUUGUCUCUACCCCAUUUACGGAUCAGUGCACUGGUUUCCCACUAGUUUACAAGGCCACAGCUAUUCUGCUGUUCUGGAAACAUGAUGCUGCCUGAUGACUGGCAUGCCCACAUGAGGCUGUGUCCUUCCAGAUUACAGAAUCACAGGGAACACUGUGCUCUGUUACUGCUGUGGCCUGAGAAGCUUCCGAGAGCUGACCUACCAGUAUCGGCAGAACAUUCCUGCUUCCGAGUUGCCAGGUAAGGAAGCCCCUCACCCCCUGCCUCAGUUCUGUCUAGUCUAGAUGGGCGUCUGCGCUCUCAGUGGGUGUCUGCACCAGCAGGGAGAAGACUGGGCAGAUGGGCUGCCUGGUGGCCAUGCUUAUUCCCAGGCCGUCCUCCACCCCAAGUUGGCUCAGGCUCUGGGCCCGUGGGCCGCGACACAGGUUUCUAAAACAGGAUUCACAAAAACAACCUAUAGGCAAGUGUAGUAGUCUUUAUUUCCUAAGGUGGGUUUUUAGGUAAACUUUUUUCCCCCUUGGAAGCUUGGAACAGGCAAGGAAACUAGUUAUAAAGCGUGACAAAAUGCUACAGCUGUAGUUUCUUUCUUUGGGUCUUUACUUAAGUUGGCUUAGCUGAGUUUGUGAGUGUCGGGUGUUACUACGUACAUGUGACUUUUUCUCUCCCCAGUGGCUGUAACAUCCCGUCCUGACUGCUAUUGGGGCCGCAACUGCCGCACUCAGGUGAAGGCCCACCACGCAAUGUGAGUGAGACACUGUGGGUGGGGCACAGGCACCCAGGGCUGGGGAGGGCACCAGAAUGGGCCUCCUGCAGAAAGCAGACCCUCUUUUUCCUAACAGGAAGGCGAGUUUUUUCUUUUAAGUGUUUUGGCCAAGUUGACGCCACGGCUUUUAGAGAUCUGUACGAACCAGUUAACUGCUUACUCGUAAAUAUAGUCAUUUAGUUCUGUUUGUAUACAGCCCUAGUGUUGUUUCAAAACCCUGCUCUUCUGUUCUCAUUUCGUGAAGCGUUUGCAUGCAGACGUUUACCUCUGUGUCUGUGGAACACAGCUGUCGUUCCCGCUGACACACUGGAGGGUUAGUACUUUGUGAAUCCGUGGCCGUGGUCACUGAGAACUUCCUGAACCACCGGCCUGGGCGUGUGCCGCUGCCCUGAGUCUGUGUUUGGUGCCGCGAGCACAUGUCUGUGAUAGCUCUAACUUGGCGGCUCUCACUGGGCAUUUCCCGCUCCCAGUGACGUCCGCUUUGCCACAUGGGUUCGUCUGCGGACGUAAGUUUGUCUGCAUUUUCAGACCAUACGUGAAGUGUCCUAUAAAUCAACCUCAUGGAUUGAUGCUUCUUGAGGCUACUGUGAUCCCCAGUCACUUGUGGUUCAAAUCACAGUUACUGAGAGGAUGCCCUUCUUGCAGGGGACAGGCCCCAAGUGAAGGCUCCCUGGAGGACUGAUCCCGUGGAAUAAAAACCUGGCUGUGUAUUUGAGCAUAGACAGAGUCCAGGAGACCGUUUCCUUUUAGAGAAAGAGAUUUGGCUAGUAACUAGCCAGUCUUUCUUAAUAAAGACAGGGAUAAGGAUAGCUAGGGCACGUGCGUCCUACUCUGGGGGUGACCUGCUCGUCACAAAGAGGGAGGUGGUGGCUCUGGCACCCACUGGGCAAGUCUGUUGGUUCUGCCCUGCGGGGUGGCCCUCGGUGACUGGGGGAUUCUGAGGAGGCACAACUCUGAGUCUCUUCCCUAAGAAAGUUACCUAAGGUGCUUGAAUUUUAAAAAGUAAAAAUCAAAUGUCUGACUUCUAAAACUUAAGAAGGACAAGAAGGCUGUCUAGGGGUUAAUAUCUUUGAUGGAUCAGACCCUGCUGCUGUGAGCCACCCCGCAUGUGCGGUCAGUUUCUCAUCAGGCUCCUCCAGCGUGUGAUCUCCAGAGUCCCUUAUCGGAAUGCUUCUUGAUGCUGGCUUGUGUAAUUCGACUUUUUGUCCCUGCAGGAAAUUCAAUCAUAUCUGUGAACAGACAAGGUUCAAGAACUGAGUAUCUAGGAGGCACCAAGGUGGCGUGGGGGUAGUGGAAGUCAGCGACAGCGUGUUUCAGAAAAUACCGGAUACAAACAUUUUCAGGGCAUUUUACAGCCCCCCGGCAGGGGUUUGGGGGGGCUGGGGGUCUCUACGUCCGGCACUGUAGCGUGGCUUUUUCUUCUGUGGCGUGAGACCCUCUUGCCGAGAGCCCCCUACCCCAGGGGCCUGGGAGGCUAGGGGUGGCAUGAACAGCCCCUCCUCUGGCCUUGGGGCCACCAGAGCACGUCAGCCGGAAGAACCACUGUCAGCCGCCCCCUCGCGCUCAGACAAUGACGUUCAGGUUUGCUCUUUGGACCUUUCCCAAAACUGUGGCUAAGACAGACGUCUCUCUUCAAGAAAGCUCUCAUGGGAGGAAAAGGAAAGUCUGUCAGAAACGUCCUGUUGUUGAAGGGAAAGGGGGCAAAGGCUUACAGCCUGCAGCCCUGCUUCGGGGACAGCCACGACUCGUGGGCGUUUCUAUUUGUAAGAGGUUUGGUGCUGAUCUUUUAGUAAGAUUUAUCACAAACUGUAGCACAAGUAAUAUAUAAUUUACAAAUUGACUAAAAUUGGGAUAGUAGGGUGUUUGAAGGAGUAAACAUGUGUUUCUGUUUAUUACGAAGAGGAAAAAAUCGGAUGUCCGGAACUGCUAACCCUAGAUCCCCAGUGUUAGGUGCAUGGCCCUGUCCCAGGAGGGCAUAAGGUGGGUUGUUUCCACCCUCAGCCUGCCGUGGAGCAGAGCCCUGGUGCCCGCUUCCCACUCUGUGGGCACAGCCACAGGCCCUGCUGAGCUGCCCCGUGGUCUUUCUCUGUUCCCUGCCGGGCCAGUUCAGCCCUGAGGUGCCCCAGCCCAUCUGGAGCGGCCCCUGCCCCGAGAGCGCCAGGGACCUUUGCCAGUGAGACCUUGUCUCCGUCAUUGGGUUUGCCAUGUCAUCUGGAAUAAUACUUGAAAUUUUGUUCUUUGUUAAAGAAAAAAAAAGUUUUUUAUCGUUUGUUGAAAUCAUCUGUUAUUUUUGUUUGCAAAAUUGUAACUUUUCGCUUCUUCUCAGGAAUAGGAUUUUCAACUGUUGUCUUGCUCUUGAUACAGACUCUGAGAAGCAGCGCUGUUUGUGGAAAAGGCCUCCUUCCCGCAUUCUAAUAAACAAGCCGUGUCUGUUUCUCUCCCUACGCGCUCGUCCGUGUGUUGGCUGUGAUGCGCUCCUUCCCAUCAUGGGGGACAGCCUGCCGGCGCCGCUGGUUACUGACUCCCCGCUCAUGAGAGUUGCACCUGCGGCCUCACUCACAUGAGCCAGGUGGCUGGAACGAGGCCUGCAGGUGUGGGGGACCCGGGGUCGGGGCCCAGGUCUGAGUACUUGGGAAAAGGGGAGAGGCAUAGGAUCUCUUGGAUCCACCAGCCCCAAGUGACACCCUUCUGGUCACACGUUGAAGCUGUGGCUUCGUGUCUAAGUCCUGGGCCCAGCCUGCACGGGACCGCGGCCUGCCCUCCGCAUCAGAGGGCGACGUCUCAUCACUCCCUUCUCUCCUGCAAAGUUAGAACAAAGACGUGGCUCCUUAGGGAUAUUCCAGCUCUGUUAGCCUGGGUUUAAGCCGAGGCUGUGACGUCACUUGGUCUAUAGUGGCUCCUUGUGAAGGGGAGGGGACCUGUCACGUUGGGCUGCUGGGUCCACAGUGCAGGGCUGGCUCUGCCGGAGCUUGGGCUCCUCCUUCCUAGCGAGUACAGGAGGUCGGCACAGAGCUGGCCUGCUCUGACUCGUCGGGGGAGGGGCGGGUUGGGACCAGGGCAGUUACUCUAUGGGAUGUUUUACAGACCUGGGUGGCUGUGUAUUUAUGAUGUCUUUAUGGCUCUUGUUCGUCCACACCUUCCCACCCGCCCAACAGCAGGCUCACAGUUGGGCCGGAGCCCGGCUGCGGGUGUCCUGGCACAGUCUGCUUGGGGUGAGUGGCCAGCUGGGGACUCCCAUGUGCUUGUCUCCAGGUACUCUGGCCCCGGCUGCCUGCCCCCUCCUCCUCCCACAGCCUCACUCAGCCCAUCCCCAGACUUGCGUCCCUCUGGUGCCCUGGUGCCCCCGUCAGAAGAGGGGCCAGCUCUGCCCAUAUCCCCAUCUGUGGUGCACCCUCCAAGGGGCAGCCUGUCCUGGCCUGCGGGUCCGAGUUGUGAGGGGAGGAGUUGGUCCUGUGGAGGCCUUACUGGGUGCAGCCAAGAGUCCAGCAGAGCUGACGGGGUCAGAGUCACGGGCCCAGAUGUGACAGCAGCAGAGGGAUGUCGGCAGAUUGCACCCCGGGAAGCGACCAAACCAAAGAGGAGGUGGACAGGGUUGGCAUGCAGCCCGCAGAGAGGAGGCCCCGAGAAGCCCAGCUCUGAACCCAGACGGCCGUGAGGGACACCAGCAGCAGGAAGCCAGCCUCCAGGCUGGAGGGAGAAAAUGAAUUGGGGGCUGACCGGAUUUAGAAAGCCCAGCAUAGAUCUGGCUUCAGUGUGGCUGGAUGCAGGAAACAGAACGCCACGCGGGAACCCUCGUCUCCCUCUGUUUAUGGCAGCAGCUCAGACCUCAGCCUCCAGCAAGCAGAAGCGGGUGAACUUCCCCACUGGUUCAAAUGGAAACCCACCCCUGACCUAAUCACUGUGGGCCAGACCAGAGCCUCUCGCCCACCUGGCAGUCAGCACUCAUAGGCAGGUGGGGUGGCCUCAGGCAAGAGGAAGGGGAGCAUCGAGGCUUGUCACCAGGAAGGACUGGAUGCUGGACAGCAGCUCUGGGGCUUAGACCCAGCAGGCCAGACCUCAGCCUGCCCAGGCCUGUCCCUAAUGGGAAUCGGGCUGGGUGGGUCUCAGUUACUCCCCCUGGAGAUGCCAGCUUGUUGGCGGGGGGGGGCACAUGGAGGAGCCCAGGCACACUCGUGCUGAUAUUCACGGCUCCCUACAGAAUUAAUUCCAAGGUCCCUGAUGCACUAGAGUCUAGCCCAGUCGGGCCUGUGUCGCUCUGUCCUCUCAGGGCGUUAGCAAAAGCACAGCACAGCUAAGCCAUGUGCAUUCCCUUCCUGCUGUCAGCCACUGUCCCAGCUAUUGAGAGGAGCAUGAGGGGGACUCCAUUCUGAGGGGCGGCCAGCCACACCACGAGCCACAGUGACCUACAGAAGAGCUGCCUCGCCAGCUCCCAGGAGAUAAUUGUUCUGGCCUCAGCAGUGUCGUGAGCUAGUAACCUAAACACAGCCAUUUAAAAAUCAUACAAGUUUGGAAUUCAUAAGAUAUGUUAGAAACAAAGGUAAUGAGCACUCAGGACUCCCCCCUUCCCAGUGGAUUUCCUCUGCCUGACCAUCGUGUCUCUUGUGGGUGUUUGCAUCGGUGUAUCUGCAUGGCGUAGGUUCUCUGCAAUGGUGCACAUCCCUGCCCGCCUGCCCAUUUGUGGACCUCAUUUUGGUAGCUGGAAAUUUGCCCUGUUGGGAGAGGAUUCACACCGUGGAAACUGGUAAAUGCUACAAAUCAAGGUCAUGUCAUUUUUGUUAGAACACCAGCACACCGCUGCACCCAACCAGUAUAACUGUGAGAACUAAUAUAGUUGUUUAAAGCCACUAUGUUUUGGGGUGGCUUGUUACAUAGCAAAGAAUAACAAUCUCGUGGCCCAGGAAGGCCUGGCACUGGGUGGCCCCGCCCCACCCCCAGAAAAUCUCCCCUUCUGUCCACCCCACCUACAGGGCCUUCCUAUACCCGGACCCUCUAAGAGGGACCCUGGCUGCAGAGCACAGACGGUGACCUCUUCCCAUCCCUCAGUUCAGACGCACUUCUCAGAGGGUGCUCCCUCUGGCCGGCCGUUCUGGUGUUAGCCUGCUGGGUGUCCUUCCUGGUGCCUGCAUUACCGAAAAGUAAACGUUUGCUUACUGUCUGUCUCCCCCUCCGAGAGUCCAGGGCAGGGAUCUUCCCGUCUUUUUCACUGUUGUAUGCUUGGCCAAAACAUGUGACGUGGGCAAGCAUCUCAUGGCUGCCGGCUGCCUGGUAGACCGGUGGUUGAGUGCACGGACAGAGACAAAGACGUCACUUUACUGGGCAUCUUCCCUGCGGCACGGGGGACGCUCCUUACUGUCUCUCUGUUAAGCCUUGUGUGUGCACUUCUCAUUUUUUCUCAUGUGUUUGUCUUCUUCUGAAGACGGUGAGCUUGAAACCCACCAGUGUCUUCCCACUUCUCUGGCAGACCCUUUGCAGCUUGCUCCCUCAGCCCCAUCACAGACCCCCUCCCACUCUGGAUGCGCUGAUUCCUCUCCGGGGAAAGCUCUUCUCCAGACCCUUCCAUGCCUGCCUCCUUGUCAUGCAAGUUCAGCUCAACUAUGACUUCCUCAAAGAAACCUUGGAACAUGCGGCUCUCCUUGCUGUUCCCUCGCCUGAAAUACUUCCCACGGUGACCUGCGUGUCUCCUUACUUCAUUCAUGUGUUUGCUCAAACUCAUCUGGGGGCCUUCCUAAACCAUCCGUCUAGAAAUAGCAUGCCUCCACACUGUUCCUUCACCUCGCCCUUUUCUGAACUCCUCACUUCCUGUCUUGUAUUUCUGUUGUCCGGUUCUCUGAUAGGACGUAAGUGCCUGUGAGAGCGGGGAUUGUGUACAGUGUCUAGAAUAGCGCUUGGAAUACAGUAGGCCACUUAUUAAGUGAAUGAAUGAAUGAAUGACGUGAUUAAAUGGCAGCCCCUCCCACUGACACACACCGUUUCCUUUACAGGAAUUAUGCUCUGAAGGGCUGGUCCUCCCCACACAAAUAAAGCUGGGCUGGAGCAGGGAUCCUGUCUCUCCUCCCCAGCUAACCCCCACACUUAGAACAUUGACCAGCACACCCAAGGCACUAGACUGUAUCCAUCGGCGGCUGGAUAACAAAAUAUGGUAUACCCAGACAGUCCAAUAGUAUUCAUCCGUAAAAAGGAGCAAAGCUCUGAUACAUGCUGAAACAUGAAUGAACCUCAAAACCUUAUGCUAAGUAAAAGAGAAGGCAGUCACAAAAGUCCCAUAUCGUGCGAUUCUUUUUGUCUCAAAUGCUCAGAAUAGGCCAAUCCAUAGAGACAGAAAGUAGUUAGUGGUUGUCAGGGAAAGGAGGAUUGGGGGGGAGGGGACUGCAUGUAUAUGGACUAGCGGGAUCUUGUGGGGGUUAUGGAAAUGUUUUAUAACUGCAUUGCAGUAAAUCCAGUUUUAUUUAAAAUUUAAUAGGGGCACCGGGGUGGCUCAGUCGGUUGAGCGUGCAGCUUUGGCUCAGGUCAUGAUCUCAUGGUUUGUGAGUUCGAGCCCCGCGUCGGGCUCUGUGCUGACAGCUCAGAGCCUGGAGCCUGUUUCAGAUUCCGUGUCUCCCUCUCUCUCUGCUCCUCCCCUGCUUGUGCGCGCGCUCUCUCUCUCUCUCUCUCUCAAAAAUAAAUAAACAUUAAAAUAAAAUAAAAUUUAGUAAAUGUAACUGUAAACUUAAAAAUUGAAUUGUAUACAUAAAACGGGUAAAUUACAUUGUAAGUAAAUAGUACCUUAAUAAAACUUAAAAUUUUUUACUUAGAUUAGCAUUUUUUUUCCCCUGUGCAGAUAUGCCAGCUAUAUAUAGGCUCAUUUGUAUUUACAUUUCGUGUCGUUACAUGUUACUUGCUGAUUUGUUUCUCCAGUUUCCCCCAUUGGCUGCACCUUGCAUAGCUGUAGUAUAAUCUCAAAACCAGGAAACAUGUUAGCCCAAAGUUUGUACGCCUCAGGAUGCAGAACUGCUCUCACCACAAAGACCUCUCCCCUGCCUCGCUUUAGCUACCCCCACCCCCACCAUUCCUUGGCAACCACUAAUCUGCUUUCCAUCUCUAUAAUCAUUAUCAUUUCACAAAUGUUAUGGAUGCGAAAGCAUGUAAUAAAGUAUACUUAUUUUGAGAUUUUUUCCACUCAGCAUGAUGCCUUGGUGAUUCAUCUAAGUGGUUGCAAUGUAUCAGUCAGUAGUCCUUUUUUAUUGAGGAAGAGGCCCCAUGAUUGGAUGCACCACAGUUUAACCAUUUAUCCAUUGUAGGAUUGGUUGAAUUUUGGUUGUUUCCAGUUUGAGCUUUGAUUACAAAUAAAACUGUGGUGAACAAUAGUGUCCAGGUUUUUGUGUGGACUUAAGUUUCCUUUGUCUGAGCUAAAUAUCCAGGAGUGCAGUUGCUGGGUCACACAAUUAAGUUAUAAGGAAAAUUGCCAAGCUGUAUUACAGAGUGUCUGUACCAUUUUAUAGUCCCACCAGCAAUGUAUAGUGUAUAGUGUGUAGUUUCUCCACAUCAUUGCCAGCAUUUGGUACUGCUACUAUUUGUUUUAGCCACUUUGAUAGAUGUGUGUAGUCUUGAGGCGGUCUUAAUUUGCAUUUUAUAAUGGCUAGUGAUGUUGAACAUCUUUCACAAGUUUAUUUACCAUCUAUAUAUCCUUGUUGGUGAAAUGCCGCUUCAUAUAUUGGCCUACCUUCUAACUGCAUUUUUUUUUAAGUUUUGGGAAUUCUAAUAUAUUCUAGGUAUCAGUCCUUUAUCAAAUACAUGGUUUGCAAAUAUUUUUAAUUAUCUGUAGUUUGUUUUUUCAUCCUUUUAGUGGAAUUUUUCUCAACACAAAUGUUUUUAAUUUGGGUGAAAUUCAAUUUAUUCUUUUUGUUCUUUUGUGGAUUGUGCUUUCAUGGUAUCAUGUCUAAGAACUCUUCACCAAGCCCUUAGUCCUGAAGUUUUUCUUGUUUUCUUAUAAAAGUUUUAUAGUUUCACACAUUUCUGCACGUAAGUCCAUGAUCAUUUUGAGUUACAUUUUGCAUUUGCAGAUGACAUGAUGGUCUAUGUAGAAGAUUCCAAGGAAUUUAUAGAAAAAAAAAAAAAAAAACCUCCUAGAACUAAAAAGUGAGUUCAGCAAGUUCUCAGGAUACAAGAUCAACACACACAGAAUUUAAUCACAUUCUAUACACUAACAAUGUGCAUGUGGAAACUAAACUUUAAAGCAAUACCAUUUACAAUUACUACAAAGAAAAUUAAGCACUUCGGCAUAAAUUUAACAAAACACAUACAGGAGCUGUAUGCUGAAAAUUACAAAAUGUUGAUGGAAGAUAUCAGAAAAGACCUAAAAAGACAGAGAGAUAUACCAUGUUCAUGGAUUGAAAGCCUCAACAUAGUUCCACAGCUGGGGAACCUGGCUGGCUCAGUGGGUAGAGUGUGUGACUCUUAAUCUCAGGGUUGUGAUUUCAAGCCCCACAUUGGGUGUGAAGCCUACUUAAAGAAGAAACAUAGCAAAGAUGUCAAUUCUCCCCAAAUUGAUCUAUAAUUUCAAUGCAUUUCCUAUCAAAAUCCCAAGAUGGAUUUUUAUAGACAUAGACAAGUUUAUACUAAAAUUUAUGUGGAAGGGUAUGAUUUCCCAAAUACCUAGAACAAACCAUGAAAAAGAGCAAAUCAGGAGGAUUCCCCUACCCAGUAUCAGGGCUUGCUGUAAGACUACUGGUGGAGACCGUCAUGUAGGCAGAGGGAUCAACAGAGAUCAACGGAAAAGAGCAGAGAACCCAGAAACACCCACAAAAGCAGCUAAUUGAUUUUUGACAAGUGUGCAAAAGCAAGUUUUUAAAAAAAUAUUUUUGAAAGAGAGACAGAGUGCAAGCAGUGGAGGGGCAGAGAGAGAGGGAGACACAGAAUCUGAAACAGGCUCCAGGCUCUAAGCUGUCCCACAGAACUGGAUGCAGGGCUCAAACCCAUGAACCAUGAGAUCAUGACCUGAGCGGAAGCCUGACACUUAACGGACUGAGCCACCCAGGCAUCCCUGCAAAAGCAAGUUAAUGGAAGAGAGAGAUUUUUUUUUUUCUUCAACAAACGAUGCUGAAACAAAGUUUUGGGUUUUUUUUUUCAAUAAACGGUGCUGAAACAAUUUUCCCAGAGGCAAAAUGAAUGAAUGAAUGAAUGAAUGAAUGAAUGAAUAGGAGAAAACCUUCAUUUAUACACCAACGAUGUUUGUUUUUGAACGGGUAAGACGUUGCUAUGGCUCCAAAGCAGGAGUCACUUGCAUUGGCACCUGAAAGACAAAUGAGUACUUGCGCGUGGGAGGUGGGGGUUCGCCCUUCGUGGGCUCUGCGGAGAGCAGCCUCAGCGCCCACCCCUCCUGGCGGCUGGGCCCUUUGCUCCCUUGGGCCUCCUAGCCACGCCCCCAGCGGGGCCGGGGCGGGGUGAGGGUGACCACGCCCUCAGCCUGACAGAUUGGGCGGGACAGGGCGGGGACCGGAGUCUUGGCCACGCCACUUCCGUAGGAAGUUCGUUUGUCUAGCUUCCGGUCGGAGGUUGUCUUGCAAAUCCCGAACGUGUGUUUCCACAAGGGAGACAGCCCCAAACUCACUUUCUGAAACCUGCCUCGCGUCGGAUGUGAGUGGGCUCGAGUCCGACACUGCGGUCGGGGCAGCCCGGCCCGAGGGCAGCUGUUGGCAAGUACGGGACGGUCUGUCUUCCGGAACGGAGGCGGCGCGCACAGGCUGUUUCCGGAGGGUCCUAGCCCGUCGCUGCGCCGCGCCCCGCCCCUCGCGCGGCCACGUCUCCGUCGGAGCAGUCCGGCCGGCGGCCGCCUAGGCUUCCGCAGCGCCGGGUGAGGGUCGCGGGGAGGCGCCCGGCCCGGGAGCCCGGCCCGGGAAGGGCGCAGGAGCGCCGGGGGGCCGCGGCACGGUCGGGCGGAGGCCAGGCGGCGGGCGAGGGGUGACGGGGCCUGGGCGGCCGCGGAGGGUGACCGUGGCUCCACCUGGAGCGGCUCCGCCCCGCGUGGGUCCUGCAACUCACCGUUGGUAGCCUCGGGGCCUGGAAGCCGGCCUGUGCAGCUGUUAGCGGUACUGGCUUCGGAGAUGGGCGCACAGCAAGCCGUUCGGAAGCGCUGUCUGCGCGUAACGGGGCGUGAUCUAGUGGAGCUACCCACAGCUGCCCAGCAGCUGCACCAGAGUGACAGCCUCUGGCCUUUUGCAGAAGUUCUGCCAGGAUGACACACGUGACACGGGGUCGGGACAUUCGUGCGGAGUUGGGUUUAGAGUCCGCGUAGCUGCUUGCCUCUCCUUCGGCCUCGAUUCCAUUUAGCUUCUGGGUGCCUAGAGGGGCUUCACCCUUGCAGUGAUAUUUCCUAGAGGAGCCGGGCCAGGCACGGUCACUAGUGUGGAGCAGGUGAACAGCUCGGCCUCAUCCAACAGAUAGUUGCUGAGUGUGAGUCGUGUGACAGGCACUGUUGAUUGUGGGUCCUGGGACACGUGGGUGGAGUUGUGCGGGAUCCCUGCCCUCCCUGAACUCACAUUCUAGUGGAGCGAUGGGGACAGUGAAUGAAGAAGUAGUAUGGGGUGUUGCUUGGCGUGGGUCUGUGGGAAGGCCCGUGGGGAGGCCAAGGCCUCUAUGACCAGCAGCCAGUCAUGGAAAACUGUGGGAUGAGAGUGUUUCAGGCAGAGUGAGCAGCAGUGUGAUGACCCUGAGGGACGACGAGUGACUUUGGUAAAGAAGUAGUGUGUCAAGGGCGUAACGAAAAAGGAGGAAAGUGGCGGGGUGGAGGAUGCAGUGUAGGGAGGAGCCAGAUGGUAUGCGGCUUCCUGGUUCAGGGUAAGAGGUUUGGGUUCUUGACAGUGUGAUUGAAAACUACUGAGACCUAGUAAACCAUGUACAGGUGACUCAUGCAUUUAAUUUUUUUUAAAUUGUUCCUUUAUUGCCAGCAUAACCCUUUCCUGGAGAAGUAGCUUUCAGUUAACAUACCUCGAAUGGCAAGAAAAGAAAAGAAAACUCAUCUGACAUUACUCAGAUUCAAAAGUAGCUUUUUUUUUUCCUUUUCUUUCUUUCUUUUUUUUUUUUUUUGGCCAGUUGCCUUUAGCAGUGUGCAUUCCUAAGUGAGAAUAUCUUCUAAUUGACUUUACUAUCAAUUUUGACGAGCAACAACUGAAGGGAAAAUAACACAUAAUUACAGCUACCAUUUAUUGAGGGCAUGGGACAGACCCUGUGCCUUGUUGCAUUUAAUCCUGGCAAAACUUUGUAUUCUGUUUCUCAUCAUGUUCCUGAUGAGGAAACUGGCUAAGAGUGGUUAUGAAACAUGCCCAUGACCUUACAGCCGGGGGUGGAGGAGUCAGGACUGAUGCUGGAGCCUGCGCUUUACGUGGCAUUGCUGUACAGGGACAGAGGCCUGCCGGCUUUUCACUUUGUGUGUCAGUCCCUGUUUACUUGUGUACUUGUGGUUACUAGCGUGGCCUCAACUAGGUGCUGUCUUCUUACGGAAAUCCUGUUUUAUCUUUGGCCUUGCCGUUUGUUUCCAAUUGCCAGUAGAAAAAAUAAGGGGGGGUAGAUGGAGCUGUUCGCGUGUGUAUCGAAAUCAUGGGAAGUUGAAGUCCUAUAUGUGCCUGAGACGAUUUUCUUGGCAUGAAGUCCUUUGAUGCAGAUGGCGUGAAUUUAGAGUUAUGAGCAUUUUGUGAAGUUGUGAUAACUGUCUCUUCCCUCCAGGAAACACGGCAGAAUGCAGGUAGUCAAAAAUGGUAAUGUGAUAAAACUGAUAUUAAAAAAAUUUUUUUUAGUCACGAAUUAGGGGGCACCUGGGUGGCUCAGUCGGUUAAGCAUCCAGCUCUUAAAAUGUAUGUGUAUGUAUGUAUAUAUAUGUGAAAAAAAUUUUUAAUGUUUAUUUUUUAAUGCUUUUUUAUUUAUUUUUUGAAGGAGAGAGAGAGAGAGAGAGAGACAGAGCUUGAGCGGGGGAGGAGCAGAGAGAGAAGGAGACAGAAUCCGAAGCAGACUCCAGGCUCUGAGCUGUCAGCACAGAGCCCGAUGCGGGGCUCAAACUCAACGAACUGUGAGAUUAGACCUGAGCCUAAGUCAGACGCUUAACCAACUGAGCCACCCAGGCACCCCCCUAUAUACGUAUUUUAAUGUUUGUUUAUUUUUGAGAGGGAGACAGAGAGCAAGCAGGGAAGGGGCAGAGAGAGAGGGAGACACAGAAUCCAAAGCAGACUCCAGGCUCCGAGCUGUCGGCACAGAGCCUGACGUGGGGCUCGAGGUCACCACCCUUGAGAUAAUGACCUGAGCUGAAGUAGCAUCCGACUGCUGAUCUCAGCUUAGGUCUUGACCCUGAGGUCAUGCGUUUGAUCCCCAUGUUGGGCUCCACACUGGGCGUGAAGCCUACUUAAAAAAAAAAAAUCACGAAUUGGAAUUCAUGUUCCUAAUAACCGCUUCCUUGGGAUGUGCUCCUAGAAGUCUGACCCUUCUCUCUGCCCUGUUUUUGUGAGCACUGAGGUAGUGAGACCCUGACCGACUGAGUGCUGCUAAGUAAAGUAUACUGGAGCCUGAGGACAGACACAGAAUGCCAGCUUAUUACCUACAGGGAGAUGUCACUUCAGCGGAGGCUGCUCUGGGCCUUCAGUGAGUUGUGUUGUCCGGCUCCAGGAGGAGCUGCGUGUGCAUGGGAGCCGUGUUUAUGAGUCGCCAGAACGUGUCACAGUCCCAGGGUCUCAUGCUGUGGAGGGCUGCAUCGUCCACCUCUGGAGCGGCGUAGGACCUCUUGGGACUCAGCAGGGUUUUUUGUUUAGCAAGAAGUUCACAUAAAGGGCAUUAAGUGAGUGGAGUACGUGAUGGCACUGGGCUCAGACAGCCUGGCGCGUUCGUCUCCGUGUUUGCUUCAUCAGUGGAACGAGCAUCUCAGCGGACCUCCUCUUGCCUGGGUCCGGCAUCGUCACGGCCUCAGGCCAUUCUCCUCAGCAGCUGCUUGGCUGCCCCUGUGCCUUCCCUGCUCUGCUGGGCCGUGUUAUGUGUCCAGCAGAUGAAGGAAGUCCGGCUAGCUGCCUGCUCGGGUUCUUACCCAGGGGACAUUGCUUAUCUGGGGUGUGGCCACUACCUGCUGCUCUCCCAGGGGCAUUCUUUGUCUCAUUGGAACGGUAGCUUCCGAGGGGUUUUAGUUGGAAUAGUCAGAGUUGUUCUGUAUUUGAAAAGGCAGUGUUGAUGCUCAGGAUGCAAACACUGUAUUGUUCUGGAACCACUAGCUUGGUUGCUAAGGGGUGGAACUUGGUAGGGCCAAAGAUUGAAGUUACUAGCCUGUGUCGAGAGCGUCACUCGGAGUGGGGGAUGUUCGAGGGGGAAGGGCCGACUGGGAGCGGUCGUUUCUGCUUCCGGGCCUCUUGCUGCGUGGAGGAGAGGCACACACACCCUUCUGCAGUGAGCUUGCACACGGGGUGUCUUGGUGGCAGAAGGGAGUGGGCCGGGCACUUUACCUGAGGCCCCGCAGGACUUCGGAGCAAUGUCUAAUGGUGGAUGUGGAAGGGCCCUUGGGGAUUUGCCUGGUGGUCAAGGGGAAGGGGCCCCCACGGCAGAGGGACCAGCUUCUGCCUGAGCAGCACCCACCUGUCAUUGUUGCCCUUGCAGGCACCAUCGCCCCUGCCCCCACGGGGCGGGGGCAAAGACAUCGCAAAGCAAAAUGCAAACAUUUUCUUCUGCUAAGGGACUUGCGAGGAGGGCCAGCACAUACAGCGUGCCCUGCACAGUGACCUCUGAUCCCACGUUCCACUGUAUGUGUUGGUACCCAUUCUUGAAGCGGCAAGCCUGUGAUGAAGGGGACGGUCUGGCUGGCCUUUUGCUGACGUGCCUCGCCUUGCUUUGUGGGCGUCUUACCUAAGGAUCAGCUGUCUGCAGUAGCCAGGGGAAGGCCUGGUGGACAGUAUUUGCCAUGGAGCCAGGACCCUGUGGAACAGUGAUUUUUGGAGGGGCCUGUAGGAUGUGCAGGGACAGGUGUGGAGCCUCCAAGAGCUCGUGUGUCUAUCCCCCCGCCCUGGGAAGUCUUUGAGGAUGAAAGAGGGUACUGAUUACUGUAGAGACAAAAACAGCAUAGAGAACUCAUUGCAGACAGGAUCAUCGGCCAGCCUCAGUAGCUCCCUUCAUUUCUGUGAUCCGGAAUUUGGUUCAGUCUUCAAAUAUGUGCACAAACGAGCCACGGAGCCACACUGGCAGCCAGCGCUUUUCAGUUAGCUGGUUGGUAUGCAUUCUAUCAGUGGUCCUUUCUAGUACAACCCUCGUGCUGGUUCUACGCGUGGCGCUAGACUGACCUUUUCAUCUUCUACCGCACGAUUACUCAGCCAUAGCAUCUUUGGCCUAUAGGUGCCAGACAGCAGAGUGGAACGUGUGCAUUCUUAGAGCUGCUAGCCAGACACUCGUGGGUUUACACGGGGGAUGCUGCCGCCACUAGUCACUCGAUGCCUGGGUGUGCCAGGCUAUGUAGACCACCAGUGGGUGCUUCUUCCUGGGGGACGGCAGGAGAGGACUGUGGCAGGAGAGGCACACCUGCCUUCUGCUGUUGAGUCAGCACCAGCCCCUCCGUGUGUGGGCCACUGCUCAGGCUCUUGUCUGAGAUGUCUGUGUGGGAUUUGUAAGCCGCAGAGGAAAGUCAUGUAACUUUUUGUCCUGAAGCUUGUGAGACACAGAACAGUAUGUAGGAUGACGUGAAACUUACCAUAUAGGGAGUAAAUGCCAGCAUCUCUGCAGAAUGGAUAGUGGCUCACACCUUCCCUGCUGACGAGGAACAGGUUAUGAAUAUCCUCAGUACACUUCAAAAAUGGUAACCAGUUGCCAAACCUGGGGCAAAGUUUUGCUCCCUUGAACUUAGCCUAGCAGGUUGGGCUAAAAGCUAAUCCUGACAGAAAUGAAGGACGAAACUGAUCACCUGCCCCGAGAUGCCUUCUCUGGACCCCGAUUCCACGUCCUCAUCUCUCUGUGCUUCCCCUGACACAGCGUAGGGUUGUCAUGUUCCGUGAACUUCGCCACCAUGCCAGGCCUGGGAGGGGAGCUUGCCCUGUGAGUGCUCGGGCCCACGGGUCCAGGGCAGAAGUCACUGGCCACACGUGGCUAUUUAACUCAGAUUUCUUAAAUUUAAACAAGUAGCUUAAUUCCUCAGCCUCCCAAGGCCUGUCCCUGCGAGGGGCUACACGUGGGGCUCAGGUCCGGUUACAGAGUGGCUCUGCCCUGGCGGGCCGGCAUUAGCCAGCUGGUUCCCUUCAGGAACGGGCCGCGGUGUGGUGGGUCAGCACUUUACCCUCAAACCUAGCAUAUUGUAGGUACUCAGGAGUUAUCUGUUGAAUGAAUAAACCUGUUUAUUACAUGGAUGUGAAUCGGGAGCCAAAUGUUAGUCUUGCAAUUGUUACUUCAAAUCUGACAAAUGAGGUUUCAUGAUACCUUCUUUCUCUUUUCCCUCCUGUCAGGUAUCAUGAUGUUAUUGGGUUUGAUUUCAAGCCACUUAUGAGACUGGACGUCUUCCCAAAAUGGACGGCCUAGUGCGGGUCUUCCCAGGAGCUCCGGGCUGCUGCUAAUGGCCGAGACCGA